AACAUUGGGGGGAAAAAACACAACUACUGAUCUGGAGCCAGGUCUGCCAGACUUGCCUCAAGCCCUGGGAAGCCUCAGGAUUCCAGAACCUGUCCUGUCCUCUUUGAGCAAAAUACAGUAAUACCGAGAGAGCCUACUAUGGGACAGAGCCUGUGCUGGGUUUGGGAGGUGGUGUCUAUGAGGGUAAAUUAGACGUGUGCAAAGUGCCUCCUUUCGUUGGCUCACUCGGUAAACCUGUAUUGGUCACCUACUCUGUGCCAACCCCUGUGCCAGAGGCUGAAGUUGCCUCUGUGAAUGAGGAGCACCCCACCCCCACCCCAGCUCCCAAACUGCCUCACGGCCUGGCAAGGGAGACCCACCAUCAACUCGAAUUUGCACACAGCGUCUACACAUUACUACCGAACAUCAAAGGAAGAAGAGGCGGCUCACUGUCUUCAUUUGCAAACCGGGAGAAAGAACACUGAUAAAAGCAACGACUCAGCUCCAGGAGUUGUGGGGAUUAAAUGAGAUGAUAAAUGUAAAGUGCUUACUACAGUGCCUGGUCCAAGCUUCAGGAUUUUUGAGGCCUCAUGAAACCAGAUCCGAGAAGGUCUUCGUUUUUAAAGAUGCCGUCGGGGCUCUCUCUGGAAGGAGGUGACCCAGCUGUUGCACACAGGUCUCUACGGACCAUGUCCCUGUGGAAUCUGCAGGUGGGGCGGGGCACGGGUGACCAGGUGGUCCGGCACCGGAUCGGAGCUCUGAGGGCAUCAGAAGUUCUGUGGUCCGAAAGGUCUCCCAGCCAGCUCUGAUUCAAUGCGAGUCAUUUCUACCUCUUGGGGGUCUUUUGGAAAGUAAACAGCAGCCACCACAGCUCAGCUGAUGAUUGCAUGUCCUGGGGACCACGCGUCUUUGAGGUAGGUGCUACCAUUCUACCCACCGCACAGAUGAGGAAACUGAGGUGCGGAGAUGCUGGGCCACUUUUCCUGGAUGUUACAACGUCUCACUUGCAAAGCCAAGAUGGAAUCUGGAGCUGUCUGAGGCUAACUCAGCAAGACACUCUCCCAGCAGGGACGCUUUUGUCUGGUGGACCUCAUGUUGCCAAACGCUGCCACUCUCUUGCUGCGUGAGCUUGAGGGAGUCCCUCUACCUCUCUGGGCACCGGUCUGUGAGGUGGAUCCAGUGGGUCGGCUACCCCAGCCCUGCAUGGACUUGACCGGGGUGUGUUUCUUUGAGCCGGUCUUUCUCCACGGUGGAUAGCAGCGGCCCUUUUCUGGUCUCUGAUCUCCACGAAGUUCGAGAGGAGGGAGGACAAGGGAGCAGCGUGCCCCGCCCCCUUCCUCGAUGAGAUGCGAUGCUUUCCGUGUGAAUUCUGAUUGCCUAGGCCUCAAGUCCUUCAUUAUAUCAUCACUACCACUUUAUAGACAUCUGAGGCCUGGGACAGAUGGCUGUUUUGGUAUCUCCCACGUGGUAGCAAAAAGGGCCGGGGUAGAAAUCCAGAUUUCCAGAGGGCCUCCCGGGCCAUGGGCAUUAUUCAGUCAAUGGUUUGUGUCUCCCUUCCGCCAGCGAUGUCUCCUCUCCGCCUCGUCGAGGGGUCAGACGCUUACUGUCGAGACUCCUCCCCCAUCAGGGCACUUUGUGAGGGGUUGGGGAGCAGGAAGAUGAAUCAGACUCAGUUCUGGCCCCAGGAGUUCAGUUGGAGAAGAUUAAAUAUGAAACCAGUAAAAGAUAUGAAAUGCCCCCCGGAAGGAAGGGUUUGCCGUGACCGAGCUCAUCAGUGUAGAUAAAUAGAGUGACUGCUGAUUGUACGUGUUCCCUGGAGAAGUUUAGAAGUGGAGGCGAGGAGGGUUCCAGUUUCCGCUCCAGUGAAAAAGCUCCCUGCCCCUCCCUAGCUGUGAGGGUGUGGGCAAGUCACUUUACCCCUUCUGCAGUCCUCAUGGCUUUUCUAAUCUGAGACCCUCAGGGUCCUCAGAGGCCAACUUUGGAGAGUGUAGACAGGGAAGAUGAGCCCGUGUUGGGGACAAGACACCCUCUGCAUCCGGAGGCCUGGUUCUGCAUUUGGAUUUGCUGUGUGGCCUUGGGAGAGUUCUGAGCCUCUCUCUUGCAUGUCUCAAUCUUUGAAUUGGGAAUUAUGUGUCCCCAGCCUUGGGGACGUUGGCCAGAGCUUCCUGGAGCACAAUGUCGGGGCUCUCCGAGAUGUAAUGAUUAAUAUGUGGCAGGCAUUGGGGCGCCUGGGUGGCUCAGUCGGUUGAGCGUCCGACUUCGGCUGAGGUCAUG